rnacentral:rRNA from 1 species
AUUGAACGCUGGCGGCAUGCUUUACACAUGCAAGUCGAACGGCAGCGCGGGCUUCGGCCUGGCGGCGAGUGGCGAACGGGUGAGUAAUGCAUCGGAACGUGCCCAGUAGUGGGGGAUAGCCCGGCGAAAGCCGGAUUAAUACCGCAUACGACCUGAGGGUGAAAGCGGGGGACCGAAAGGCCUCGCGCUAUUGGAGCGGCCGAUGUCGGAUUAGCUAGUUGGUGGGGUAAGGGCUUACCAAGGCGACGAUCCGUAGCUGGUCUGAGAGGACGACCAGCCACACUGGGACUGAGACACGGCCCAGACUCCUACGGGAGGCAGCAGUGGGAAUUUUGGACAAUGGGGGCAACCCUGAUCCAGCCAUGCCGCGUGCGGGAAGAAGGCCUUCGGGUUGUAAACCGCUUUUGUUCGGGAAGAAAUCCUCUGGGCUAAUACCCCGGGGGGAUGACGGUACCGGAAGAAUAAGCACCGGCUAACUACGUG